CGCACUAGGCUGGUUUUUACUUAUCAUUAAUUUAAUUUGCUUUAUGCAUUCAAUAAAAAUAAAUAUCGGUGACCAUGUUAUUUAGGCACUCUACCUAUAAAGUAUUUUCAACUCACGAUACACUUAAUUUAGUGAAAUUGAUUCAAAAGCCAGAACUCUAAUAAAUUUAAGGUCUCGUUACCACAAAAACGAUUUUACAAAACGACCCGACAGCCCGCGGCUAUAAUACGUGUCAAUAAUUCUCGUUGGUUUCCUUUCUUCGCCCAAUGUAAACAAACUCAUCUCCAACGGUACAACUUUCCAAAAAAACACGUUUACUACUAAUUAACUUUACGAUGCAGGGAAGGGAGUCGAAAUAAAUCAAAAGUGUACAAAUUAACCUCGAACCGAGUCGAAGACGCAUUAAAAAUAAAUUAUUCCCAACUCUCGACACACUUCAAAUCAAAAUUGGUAACAGAUAAAAACUGGUCGAAUAAACAUAAAGCUGGUCAUAGAAAUGCCCGGUAAUGAACUGUCCGAAUUCGAAUUUCGAAAUUCAAAUUGCGAAGCGCGUGGGUACAAGUGGGUGUGCUUCGCUGCCAACUGUGUAAACUUUAUCGAUUCGGUUAUAUUUCAAGAUCAUUUCAGGUUAUACAUAUCGAUUUUCGCAUGUCAUUAUAUGAUUGUUAAUCGCUCUGUUGCUAUGCUGCUUUAACAAUUAAUAAUGGCGUUGAGUCACUGUGUGUUUAAGAUGUUCUCGUUCGACCGCCGAGUCAUUAGAAUGAUGGGUGUGAAACUUUUAUGGUAUCAUAAAUCUACGUUCGCAAUGUGUUUGCUGCCCAUUUUAGCUUAACGCUAAACGAACGUUCCCUAUGCCCGUUCACACGUGAAAAUAAACGUCGUCAAAACGGAUAUUUCAGACAUAUUUAUUGACUGAGAUGGGACGUGAGCUUCCACGUCGAGUAAAUUAAGCCCAGUAAUGUCCACUGGUCCGUGAACGCGUACCUAUCAAUUAAUAAUUUCGAAAAAAAACAUCGGCAGCUACGCCACAUGUCGUAUCGGUAGGCCGAAACGAAAAAGUACAAAACGCUCUUUAUUAAAAUUUUAAGACACGGCACUUCUCUUCGAGGCGUACUUAUAGCCAGCACUACGGCACUAUCUCGCAAGCGAUUCAAGAGGACACACAUGCGUUACGCGGCUCAACUACCGAUCAUUGCGUCUCUCGCUCGCGCGCGUAACACCCACUCGCUCUAGUGUACGACGCGAUGUCGGUCGCGGUCCGCUCGUCACGUAAACCUACCGCAUAGGAGCUAGAUUGGCGCGUCGCGUAUUCAAAAUAGGAACGUUAGUAAUGGAUGCGAGGUAUAUUGCGGGGUGUGUGUGUGCGUGCCCCUCCCCCGCGCCCCGCCGACGCCGCGGCGUUUACACAAUCCGUUGGCUCCGAGAGCGCACGGUCGCACCCGGCCCGCGGCGCGCGCCGAGCGAACACGUAUCGCCUAUUGUUUUUUUAACACGCAACUUCGCCUUCGGACUUAGCGCGUUCGGCCCAACUUAUAAGAAGCGUUCGGACUAGAACUUAUUGGAAGCUUAGGCUUAGUGUCUAACCUUAGUGAUAACAUUUUUUUCUUAGGGCUUUAAAAAUGUGAUGAAGUUUUUCGGCUGAAAGUGAGGAGCAGUGCUACAGUGUCGGAAUGUCAAAGAAGAAAAGGCGAUAUUAGUGCCGAGGAAUAAAAUUUAAUGAAAAUUAAUAAAAAAUAAGAAUAUGAAGUUCAUCACUACAUCUAAAUCUAACAUCAUCAUUUAAUGAUAGCAACCAGCUCGGGAGAGAACUAUCGUAUUUGGAAGGCAACCUGUCGGUGGGACAUUUGGUGAGCGCUCGUUCAUUCUUUACCCUUUUUUGUACCACUUUUUAAGGUAAAAAAUGUAAAUAAUACGUUCUUUUGAAACCGUCGAGAUACGAGUGGGGUAAAGUUUGAGGGACACUUAGGCGAGGUAUUUGAUCGUUUUGUGAGAGUUAAGAACUUAGUAUUUGUGGAAUGUUGACUUUAUUUAUGAACUGAAGUAAAGGAAUCAAGUUAAAUGUUUAUAUUUUAGUAGGAAUUUUUUUUAUAUAAAAUAUUGCCAAUAUAGAAACUUUCAUUACCGUUCAUAUCCGUUUCUAACAAUAAAAAACACUCGUCAUGACUUCCUAUAAUUAUACCUCUCGCGUCGAAUGACGAUCCCUAUGACAGUGUCAUUCUUUUGGUUAGGUUUAAUUUUAAACAUGUUUUUACGAUAUUUAUUUUACUUCAAUCUUGUAACAUUUUAAAUAAAUUGUCUAAAUAAAUUAUUAUACUAAACUUCCAGAAACUGUCUACAAACAUUUUAGGUGACAUCUAUUCUGUAUAAAAAUGAAUUGUAAUUCGACUGAAUAAAAAGAUUGAAAAAGGACAUGUAUGUGAUUGGCACUUACGUCACUUAUUCAAUACAUUUACAAAUAAUCGCAUGCGAAUAAUCAUUUCAGCGUAUUUAAUCGUUAAUUAAUUUUGAACCGGUAGCAUUAACUUUUGAUAACAUCUGUCGUUUCCAAUUUAUCGAUAAGACUUAUCUUGUAUUGAUUAAGGAUAUAAUGCUGACAAUUAACCAAAUGCAUUUCAAUGUUAAUUACUCGUAUUUCUUGUUAUAACGAAUGAAAGACUGAAUUUUAUUACAACUUACUUUUUUUUUACUCACGGCUUAAGUCAAUUACCAAUCUAGGUGUAAUUAGAACUUAGUUUGUUAAUAAUUUAUUCGUUAAUAUUAUUUGCAGUUAUUAUGGUAGUAUGUUAAUAGUUUUUAUUAAAUAUAUUAUUUUUCGUUAUAUAGGUUAAAAUGAUCAAAAAAGCACUAGUUAUGCAGGACAAAGAAAUAGCUUACGUUGAGCUGUGCUUCAACACGGGGAAUCAUUAAAUGGUUUGAAAGCUGAAAAAUAGUAGCCUAUAUCAAUCUGUUUGAAAAAAUGAGUACGAUUUGUUUAUUUAACUUUAUUACACAAAAUAUGUACAACAAUGUUCAUAUGGUAGACUUAAUGCCACAUGGAAUUCUCUACGAGUCAACCAGAUACACAUAAACGUAGUAUAGGUACAUUUGAUGCAGAGAGAAAAGUAUAUUGAAUGAAUAAAAAAAAAUAAACUACAUACAUUACAUUAAUAAAUAAAAUACGAGUAAUUUAAUCUUAAAUUGGUUCCGAAAUCCAAAACUACUUACUCAAUUCAACAUUAAUCGUUUUAUCCAAAAAUCACCCUACACCCCGUGUACCCCCAUCCGAACCCAACCGCUUGAACUUAAGUGCAGGUAUCUUCACGUUUUUUUUUUCUUUUUUGCCCCGAAAUAGGCUAUAACCUAUUUAUUUUACUUUUUAAAUUGGGGACAGGAUAAACGUUCAUUAAGGGUCGAGAAGGGUUGGUAAGAUGUUUAAACGUAGCCAUAUGCAGGGUUGGGUAUCGAGGUCAACUCGAUUUAUUACACGGCGAAAAAAGAUGGCGGAGACCGUAGCUAAUGGACGCUUGAAAUUCCAGACUCACAUUUGCGUUUCUGAAAUUUUAUACAAUGAUUCACCUUCUUAUACAGCAUAAGGGACAAGCAUCCCCAUAACAGGGCCUUACCAACAACAAUUACAGGUGUUUAGCGGCAGAUUUCCGAUUUCAAAUUCAAAUAAUUUUCGAACGCGAAGUGCGGGGGGUCGCGGGGGAGUGUUUUAGUUUAUUAGAUGAGCGGAUUGAUAGAUUACAAUGGAUGGAUCGCUGGCCAGCAGAGUAUCGUGCAUAUAUGGUAUUGAGUCGUAUCGUAUUCGUACCAAAGGCUUUCCGCUUAGUAGGUUAGGUACCGUAAGGCGUAAGUUUUGCAGAAUAGGCGAUUAAAGUUGGAGGAUACGUAAAUAGUGAAGGUCGACUUCUAGAAAAUGUGAUUUUCAAAAAAAAAAUCGCAUUCUUCUUUUCAUUGUUUAAGUUUAUAUUUUUAUGUUUUUAUCAAAUUGAAAUUGGAAAUAUGACCGCUGGACACCUUGUUUAAAGAAUUAACACUAAUUUUACAUUUGGUAUCGAAUGUGUCAAUGUGUCAUUCCGUUAAAAAAAGCAUCUUAGGAUGGUUGGCGUUUACGACAAACUAUAACUUAAGCGGCAAUUUAGUCCAGAUUAUACGAAACAUUUUCCCGCAAUUAUUAUACUUCAUUAAAAUAGUAUCUUCAAUUAGUAUUAACAACUAAGUUUCUCGUGUGUAACGCUACUUUUAACGCACACUUUAUUGCGUGAAAUCACGAAAGCAAUCGGUCGGUACUUUCCAAAACGACGUAAAAGCAAUAUUUAAAAGAAAUCUACGCAAAAUUGUACAGCGAAGUCAGAAAUGGUCCAUUCACGAUUACCGCGCUUGCCGUCACAUUUAGGAAUACUUUAAUACGGAUUAAAUUGUGUAUAUUUCACGACGGCCAGCUAGUUGUUGUUGUUCAAUCCAAAUUAGACUUAAAUAGAACGAAUUAAGGUUUAUUUUUUGAUGAUCUUUGCUCGUGCGCUCUAAAGAAGUGCAUGUGAAUUCGAGAUGUGGACCGCUUUAUGCAAUAAUUUAAAUUACUUUUAGUACUUGUAACUCUCGUUAUUAAUAAUAUAAUUGUUUGAAAUAAAUUUAUCAUGAAUGUUACUAGAUUUUAUAGCUGAGUUAAAGAUUUAUGCAUUUUGCAAUAGUAAACAGUAAGUGAAAUAGAUUUAAUAGUCGUUAAGGCGUCAAGCUAAUUUAUUUCCUUUCACUGUAAAGUGUAAGCAAGUCGUAAAUGCUGUUUCGUAAAAAGGAAUUCAUAGUAUAGAUGGCGCUUAGGCCGCUAUAAACGCGAUUUAAAUGAGAUAUUUUAUUAUCUAACGGCCAGUCAACUUAAACACUCUCUUUACAUGAUACAGAACAUAAUAGUACAAUUUAAUGAGAAAGAAUAUAACUGAAACGCUUUAUAGAGUAAAUAAGGACUGGCUUUAUAUCUAAUUAGAAAUUAUUUCUUAUACGUUAUACUUACUGACAGUAAGGUCAAGGCAGUUUCGGAGAUAGCCCACCUGGUUUUUUUGUUAGCUUAGAAUGUUCAAUGAUAUCUAAAAUAUUUGUUAAGAAAGAGUACAGGGUUAGGACGGAACACGCUUACGACUUACGGUCACUUUCGUGCACAAUGAAAUAAAACAUGAUACAAUAUUUUAAAUACUUAACAUGUGUUGUAUAAACUCGACCCACGACACCUGCUACAAGACCGGUGCGGAGAAAAAGGGCCAAGUUUUUAUAAACAACUAUUAUACGAAAAAACGAAUCGUGGGAGUAUACACUUUGUUUAUGGUUCCGGUGGCGUAAACAUGCUUUUCUGUUUACAACUAGGAUAACAAAGUAUGUGUGCCUCAGUAAUGGGCGUUUUACUUAUAUUAAUAACUAGCUUCGUAUAUAAUAUAGGGCACCCCCUUUUCUUACCUGAUAGUGUUCUCGUAUCGUUUACUUAAUCUCCAUUUCUGGGAUAAAAUAUACCUAGAUUUAAAAUUUAACCCAAAUUUGUAUUUUUGCGUGACUGAUUAUAGGUAGGUAUCACAUAAAAAACAUCUAAAUAUUCAUACAAACUUUCACAUCCACAGUUAUAUUAAGGUACAAUUCGAUUUGCCUUCUAAUGAAGAACAAUUGUAUGUACCAUACCAGUUUUGAGUAAAGUAAGCAUUUAUUUCUUAAAUAAACUAAUUAAUUAGUGUAACACGUAAUGAGCAUAUUUUGCAUGAGGUCUUUCGACUCCAUCCCGCAGUAAACGCUUUAAACUGCUUUCGCUCAAAUGCUCCUGCAGCAGAAUAUUUCCGAGCCCAAAUUACAAGUUUAAAUUCGAGUGCCAAUUUGUAACUUUUAACAUCUCGCAUCGAAUAGCAAUUUCGGAACCGGUUCCAUUCCAUAUUUGGUUUCGUUCUGACGAAAUUCGCUACGAUGUUGAGUAAGUUGGCGUAAAAAACUUAAUUUUGUUAUUUAAUCGGUAUCAAUUACAUUAAGUGUUAGGUUAGGGCACUCAAGGUCAGAAUUUAUUGUUAUUCAGACGCUUAUAAUGCCCUUUAGAACAAUUGCCACGCAUUUUUUGGCAACAUCUAUCCCGUACAAUCACAAUUCAUAAGACUAACUUCCUUAUUCACAAAACUUAGCAACCUCUUCAUUUUGACGUCUCUGUUUGUCAGAAAGAGAAAAACUUAGCAAAGGUUUGUAAUUUUGUCUCUUUCUGACAAACAGUAACGUCAAAAUGACGGAGAUCGAUUAUCAACAGUUUAUUAAAUUGGACAGACGUUCAUGAAUAUACUAUAGUUUUAGAACGCACAAGACGAAGUUUUGAGAAAAAAGGUAGUAAGUACAUUGGUUUUAGCCUUAUGAGCUUUUUUACUAACAUUCACGUCACCUUAAUUUUCAUUUUAAGUGCUUUUUCUGCUAGCAUCAUACAGGAGUUUAACGUUUUUUUCAUUCUAAUAGCUGACGUAGUUUUGAAUAAAACUUCCAUAAUAAUCCUGUUGAUGCAAUUCCGGUUUUCAAAAUGUUUUCUUAUAUGUAAAAACACCAUCAAUAAACGCUAUUUCGUUCUCAUCAGUUUACCUAGUAUUUCGUAAUAUACUAGAUUAACGUUGACUUCAAUUAUAUUGUUUACUUACUUGAUAUACACGUUUAAUACACACGUAUAUAAUUACAUAUUAAACUUAUGUACUAUAUUAUACAUACGCACUCAAUGAAUCAUAGAUCCAUACAGCGAUGCGGAAAACAAGUUAAUGUCUCAGAACACGUAUUUCUACAUUUUGUACCUAUGGAAUGUCGCAAUCAUGUACUACUAAUGCCCUUAGUAGUUAUUUCUUAUAAUUACUUUUCAACGGCUUUAGCUAUUAGUGUAUCUACGCUAUUAAACUAACAUUACACUUGGAAAUUUCCGUAGAAACUUUUAAAAGGUUUUAAUUAAAUUGUAAAUUAAGUUGCGUAUCGGAGAGGCGUUCUGAACCGGUUUUCAAUCUUAGAAUAGUCGCCAGUUGUUUGGUUCGAAAAUUAAAGUUUGCCCUUUCAAAAAAAUUAAAACGUUGCCUAUUUUUUAAGAGCUGCAAAUGACGUAAGCGCCAAUCUACAUAAAGUCCUUUUUAUAAGAAACAUUGUAUUUAGUUAUAAUUAUAACCGAUGUUUUUUGACGACAGUCAGAUGUUUUUUCUCAAGUUCCUCUUUUAAAAUAUUUAUAUGAUCGAAUUCGGUUAUGAUUUUUCCUCCUAUUCUAAAUUUAAACUUUCCUUUAUUCAAGCGUUUGGUCAAAACGAUUUUCCAGUCAUUGCUCGUUAGUAAAUUCGCGUCAUGUUUUCGUUCAAUGUAAUGUUCACUGCAAAAAAUAAAUUAAAUUUGCAACAUGCGUUUAUUUUAAAUUUAAACGUGCAUUACGAUACCACAUGUGGCCGACCACAUUAAUUUGCGCGCUUUUUGUCGUAUCGGACUAUUGGAGGUUUAAUGUCGUAUGUGCAAGUUGUUUUCAUAGUUUUAUACUCCAUCAUAAUAUUAAGUAUUGUGCAAUAAACAUCUAGUAUCAUCAUAUAGCGCUAUUAUUGCGAAUGAAACUUUAUAGACUUUAUAUAGUUUUAUAUUCCGUCAUGUGGUUUUGCGUAAAUUAGUUUAUUAAG